AACGAACGCUGGCGGCAGGCCUAACACAUGCAAGUCGAACGCUGUAGCAAUACAGAGUGGCAGACGGGUGAGUAACGCGUGGGAACCUUCCCAGUGGUGCGGAAUAGCUCAGGGAAACUUGAGGUAAUACCGCAUAAGCCCUUAGGGGGAAAGAUUUAUCGCCAUUGGAUGGGCCCGCGUCGGAUUAGCUAGUUGGUGAGGUAAUGGCUCACCAAGGCAACGAUCCGUAGCUGGUUUGAGAGAAUGACCAGCCACACUGGGACUGAGACACGGCCCAGACUCCUACGGGAGGCAGCAGUGGGGAAUCUUGCGCAAGGCGCGAAAGCGUGACGCAGCAACGCCGCGUGAGGGAAGACGGCCUUCGGGUUGUAAACCUCUUUCAGGAGGGACGAAGGUUCACCGGUGAAUAGCCGUGUGGAUUGACGGUACCUCCAGAAGAAGCUCCGGCUAACUACGUGCCAGCCGCCGCAGUAAAAC
rnacentral:rRNA from 1 species